UUGCUAGUUACCAUCAUUAAGUUUGGGGACUCUAGCGAGACUGCCAGUGAUAAACUGGAGGAAGGUGGGGAUGACGUCAAAUCAUCAUGCCCCUUAUGACCUGGGCUACAAACGUGAUACAAUGGCUGGAACAAAGGGAUGCGAAGCAGUGAUGUGGAGCGAAACCCAUAAAAACAGUCUCAGUUCGGAUUGAAGUCUGCAACUCGACUUCAUGAAGUCGGAAUCGCUAGUAAUCGCGGAUCAGAACGCCGCGGUGAAUACGUUCUCGGGGUUU
rnacentral:rRNA from 1 species